rnacentral:lncRNA from 1 species
AGGGAUGAUGGGAAGCCUGUUCUUGUUUAUCGGUUUGUACGGAACUUCACCCGCGGUAGAGUACGGCCUGAGAAUUUUGUUCCAGCACCGGUGUGAGGAAAACAUCUGAGCCCAUGAAUUGCCAGACCCUGGAUACCUGAGACACAUCCACUUGCUUCUCAGGUUUGGAGUGCAUAAUGAGGAGAAAUAAAAACAGAAAGAUCUCCAGAAAGAAGCCAUGGUAAGAUUCAAGGUUUCACAGUCCAAGCUAAUGCCUGUGGACACUUGACCAAGUGAUCUGAGAAAAUUGGAUUUCUGGCAAAACAAGUGUACCUAGACUCAGGCAAGGGUGGAGAACAGAGGGCGACUAGAUUAAAUGGAAAGAAUGCCCAGGCAUCCCAUUGCCUCCCUUUGACGUUCCAGAACUUCAUCAAGACAGUGAUGAGCUACAUGUACACCUGGAGGAGGACCAUGCAGAAUACCAUCCAGCGCCAUGAACACUAGUCAGUCAGUCAGUAAUGGUGGGCUUCUUGGUGUGCUCCAGCUCAAUUUUCUCAUGUUUGAUGAUUAGUUCAGGAUCAAGCUCAGAAGCGCACAGCUGCCAGCAAGCAGUCUACUACUGAACUGCACCAUCUCUCCAGCCUGUGCUUACUCUUGAAUAGCCCCAAAGUAGUCAAUGGGCUAUUUGGUACUGGACAACCAAUUGGAGUGUUGUUUGCGGGGGAGGACCACCUCUCCAGGUAGAAUCUAAACAUCAGAAAAUCAACAACCCAGUUAAAAUAAUCUAGAGCACUAACCAGAGCGUUCUCAGAAGAAGCACUACAAACGGCUAAGAAACACGAGACUGCUCAACAUCCUUUGCCAUCAGGGAAACACAGAAGCUCACUUUUCAGUUUUCAUCUUUCUGGAGUCAGAAUGGUUAUCGUCAAGAAUGCCAGUGACAUGGAUGUAGAGGACGGAUUCCUUCAUUGUCUAAGUCUCUGGAAAUAGUGCAGAAGAGUAGUCAGGGACUAAAAGAUGGAAGACAGAAAGGGCUGCAAAGUUCCAUCCUAGAGACUCAAUACAGCCAUUGCAAUGAUGAACUCACAAAAACUGCAUUUACCUGAACUUAGCCUGCUCAAGACAUUGAAAGUGUUUCAAAGUAGCUUUUCCUGUUGUGAAUGUACCUCUCAGCUAGUCUGGUUUCUGGUUCAGAGCUCUUAGGCACAGAGUUGUCUUGAACAUUUGCUUACAGGCACUUGUGUAGAUAUCAGCUGCUUUUUUUUGUUAAAUCUCUGAAAUAAAUGCCUAGGCGUUCAAUGGCAAUGUUAUAUCAGUAUGUAUUUAGCUUAGUUUUAAAAUAAGAAACUGUCAAAUACUUUUGUAGAAUUACUGGACCAUUUUACACCCCUGCCAACAAAGUAAGAUUGAUCCAGCUCCCCACAUUCUCAUAAACAUUUGUUUUUGUUUCUUUAAGAAGACAAGUUAACCAUUCCAUUUAUUGAGAAUUUACUUACCAUUCAGUGCAUUGCUUAGAUAUGUAGUAUUCAGUUUUUAGUACACAUACAAGGUUGUGUAUCGAUUACUACUAAUUCCAGAACAUUUCCAUUACCAUAGAAAAAGAAACCCAAUAUUCAUUUUCAUCUCUCCUCUAUGGACUUACCUAAUCUAGAUAUACCAAAUAAAUGGAAUUUUUAUAAAAUAUGACCUUUUGUUUGGCUUCUUUCAUUUAGAAUAGAAUUUCAAGGUUUCUCCAUGUUCUACCAGCCUUCAAAUUAAUUUCAGUUGUUGUGCUUUCAGGUUUCAGAAUUUCUUUUCAUUUUCUGUUUAUAAUUUCAAAAUUAUUGUUUAAUAUCUAUUUAAUAAAACAGGUGUUUUGAAAUAUAUUUUAUUAGUUCUUUGAGUAUUUAAUAUAUACUUUGGUCAUUUUCACCCCCUUCCAUAAACUCCUUUUAAUUAUUUGCCAGCAGCUUCUCUGUUGGGGUGUAUCCACCUUCCCUUCCCAUGCAGAGCUCUAGUCUAGCUUAGGCUUGCACAGGUCUUUUGCUGUCACAACCACUGUGAGUUCAUAUACAUAACUAAGUGAACAUAAUGUUAACCUGACAUUUAUACUCAUAUUUUAAUAAACCUGUCCACGUUCACUAGAGCAGCUUCUCUUUUUAGUAGUUAGUAGCACAGAGACCCACAACUGACUAUGGUGUGGAGAAAAAGACUGGGAAUCUCUUAUUCUAGUCUUUUCUAGAUCAAAUCCAUUAUAGUAAGGUAAUAUAUUCCAUAUGAUUUCCAUUGUUUUAUAAUUGGUAGAAUUUGUUUUAUGGCCCAAGAAGCAAUCUAGGCUCCUGUUUUUGAUACACAUAUUUCCAUUCAUCUGAAUUCUCUAUGCAUUAAUUUAAGAACUAAUUAUUUGCACAAGAAUUCCCCAUUCAUUAUUUCCACUUUACUUCAGUAGCUAUAGUCAGAGUCUAAAGGAACGGUAAGUUUCUUAAAUUUCUUCUGCUUUGUGUGUGUUUGAGGAUGCGCGUGGAAUGUGAAUUUCAGGACAAGAGACAGCAUUUCUUAGCUGUAAUUUAUAUAAUUGCCUGCAGGUGGUAGCAAAGCAACACAAAAAAAUAUCAACUCCUUUUCCUUCAUCCUUUGUUUCAGUUUGGGAUGUGUGUGUGUGUGUGUGUGUGUGUGUGUGUGCUUGUUUGUUGUGGUUUUGUUUUUGAUACAGGGUUUCUCUGUGUAGUCCUGGCUGUCCUGGACUAGCAUUGUAGAUGAGGCAGGCCUCCAACUCACAGAGAUCCACCUGCCUCUGCCUCAAGCACUGGGAUUAAAGGUGUGUGCCACCUUGCCCUGGCCAUCAUUUGUGUUUUAAAGAAACAAAAAUGAGUGUUUUUUGCUGCCUUGAAAGCUGGUAAACUUGCUUGGAAAAUAUCCCUUUUAAAUAUGUUUGCUAAUUUUGGAAAUGAAAAAGAUUUAUUAUUUGUAAGUGCCAUUUACCAAUGGUAGGCUAAGUUUACAUUUGCAUGUUUUUAUUGGCUAUUUUCCCCUCUAAUUUAUCUAUUUGUUUUUAUUGUUAAUUUUCCUGUUCAAGGUUAAGAGGAAAACUCUGCUUUUUCUAUCUUACCGUUAUUAAAGUAAUACAUCUCAUUAUGGAAAAUUAAAAAUACCAGAAUCACUC